GUGCUCACUUCAGCAUCACAUAUAUUAAAAUUGGAACAAUACAGAGAAGAUUAGCAUGGUCCCUGCCCAAGGAUGACAUGCAAAUUCGUGAAGCAUUCCAUAUUUUU
ensembl:snRNA U6 U6 spliceosomal RNA